rnacentral:rRNA from 1 species
AUUGAACGCUGGCGGCAGGCCUAACACAUGCAAGUCGAGCGGUAGCACAGAGAGCUUGCUCUCGGGUGACGAGCGGCGGACGGGUGAGUAAUGUCUGGGAAACUGCCUGAUGGAGGGGGAUAACUACUGGAAACGGUAGCUAAUACCGCAUAACGUCGCAAGACCAAAGUGGGGGACCUUCGGGCCUCAUGCCAUCAGAUGUGCCCAGAUGGGAUUAGCUAGUAGGUGGGGUAACGGCUCACCUAGGCGACGAUCCCUAGCUGGUCUGAGAGGAUGACCAGCCACACUGGAACUGAGACACGGUCCAGACUCCUACGGGAGGCAGCAGUGGGGAAUAUUGCACAAUGGGCGCAAGCCUGAUGCAGCCAUGCCGCGUGUGUGAAGAAGGCCUUCGGGUUGUAAAGCACUUUCAGCGGGGAGGAAGGCGGUGAGGUUAAUAACCUCAUCGAUUGACGUUACCCGCAGAAGAAGCACCGGCUAACUCCGUGCCAGCAGCCGCGGUAAUACGGAGGGUGCAAGCGUUAAUCGGAAUUACUGGGCGUAAAGCGCACGCAGGCGGUCUGUCAAGUCGGAUGUGAAAUCCCCGGGCUCAACCUGGGAACUGCAUUCGAAACUGGCAGGCUAGAGUCUUGUAGAGGGGGGUAGAAUUCCAGGUGUAGCGGUGAAAUGCGUAGAGAUCUGGAGGAAUACCGGUGGCGAAGGCGGCCCCCUGGACAAAGACUGACGCUCAGGUGCGAAAGCGUGGGGAGCAAACAGGAUUAGAUACCCUGGUAGUCCACGCCGUAAACGAUGUCGAUUUGGAGGUUGUGCCCUUGAGGCGUGGCUUCCGGAGCUAACGCGUUAAAUCGACCGCCUGGGGAGUACGGCCGCAAGGUUAAAACUCAAAUGAAUUGACGGGGGCCCGCACAAGCGGUGGAGCAUGUGGUUUAAUUCGAUGCAACGCGAAGAACCUUACCUGGUCUUGACAUCCACAGAACUUUCCAGAGAUGGAUUGGUGCCUUCGGGAACUGUGAGACAGGUGCUGCAUGGCUGUCGUCAGCUCGUGUUGUGAAAUGUUGGGUUAAGUCCCGCAACGAGCGCAACCCUUAUCCUUUGUUGCCAGCGGUUCGGCCGGGAACUCAAAGGAGACUGCCAGUGAUAAACUGGAGGAAGGUGGGGAUGACGUCAAGUCAUCAUGGCCCUUACGACCAGGGCUACACACGUGCUACAAUGGCAUAUACAAAGAGAAGCGACCUCGCGAGAGCAAGCGGACCUCAUAAAGUAUGUCGUAGUCCGGAUUGGAGUCUGCAACUCGACUCCAUGAAGUCGGAAUCGCUAGUAAUCGUAGAUCAGAAUGCUACGGUGAAUACGUUCCCGGGCCU